UAAGCUACCGUUUUACUCAUUUGUUACAUAUGUCUCAUCUGUUACAUAGCAGAAACUCUGCUCGCUGUUCUCACAGUAGGGGUAUAUUCAUUCUAAAAGUAGCACAUAUGGAUCACAAAUACAACACUCUAAAAAUGUGUUAAUUUUGAAAUUUGUAAUUAGGAGUUUUUAUAUUUGGAAUUCUUUUACCUACUAAUGCAUUAGGUUUAGGUGCAGCUCUCGGUAAAUUGCGCGUUCUACUAGAGAUUUGUAAAUCUUCAGAGUUUAGAUUCCAAUUGCUCUUGUUGAUUUUUUCCUUUUAUACUCUCGUAUUACCUAGUGUUUUCAAAUAAAGAACAGAAACUUGUGCCCUCAAGUCUCAAUGAAGGGUUUUAUGUUGCAUAGAGUUUGAUUUGACAUCAGUAGUGCCUAUAAUAAGCUUUAUGCAACCAUUAGACCUUUGCAAUGAAGAUAUGCUACAUCUGUGAGGCAAAAGCUUUUUAGGUAUUCUGGUGUAAUGAAUUUUUCAUGAUUACUGUCCUAAAUGUAGCUGGAAUAACAUCGUGGAUUUCAUCAGAUUAGCCAAAAUGUUACUGUUGCUAAUUAAGCAAGGUGUGUCUUUGAUGCUUGCAUUUAGUGAUAUUUUGUUCUUAAUGAAUUUUUUCUAUGCACAGUAUGCCCAUCGCGAAUGUGUACAAAGGUGGUGCAAUGAGAAGGGGGACAUUGUCUGGGAAAUUUGCCGUCGCAUUUGUAGGUCUAAUAUUUUUGUCCUAUGUUCAUUCUUCAAGACCUAAAUGUUGCUAUUGAGUAGGUUGAUCUUAUCCAUGCUUCUCUUUAAUGUGAGAUUACAGAAUUUUAAGCCAAAUUAUACAGCACCAGCUCUUCUGCUUUGGCUUAUAACAGUUACAGGCCAGUAGUCCUAUUAUUCUACAUAUAGAAUAUUUUCCGAUGUUUGGUAAUUAUGUACUUACCAAUCAACCUUGUAAAAUUGUGUGCAAAAUAUCUCUAUGUUUGGCACAAGAUGAAGAAUGCUCCUAUUGGCACGAGGUAUAUGUGUUUAUUCUUACUUAUCUGUAUCUUCCUAUUUCAUGUAUGUUUGGUUAAUUCUUUACAUUCGAGUUGUAGAAUUCAUCUCUAUAGGGUUACUAGUAUUAAAAGAAAUCUGAUGUAUUUUUGACUGAAUAACUAGAUCUUGUUUCGUGACUCAUGCAAGUGUAGGGAGAAUAUGCUCUAGUAUUGCUAAUGACUGCUGACACUAAUUGCUUUCAAGGUUUAGGGAGGGUGAAUUGAAUCCCAUGGAUGCAGAGCAAUAAACAGAGUAUGGUCACAAGAUGGUGAAUUUCAUUACUGAUUAUUACAAGAACAAUCAGAACUCACUGUCCCAAUCAAGUUCAGGUUUUCACAGCAACCUAUCAAUUUCUUUUUGUAUCCUUACCAUGCACUUGCCAAGAAUUAGUUGCCCAUAGAAAGUUUAGCCCUUGCAUGAUAAUGUUAUUUUGGCAGAGUUUGUAGAGACUUAGCUAGAAAAAAGUACUCCAUUAUAUUGCGAAUGAAAUUAGUAAAGCUCAAUCUUUUAAUGGAUAUAUUUUUACUAUCCUAA